AACGAACGCUGGCGGUAUGCUUAACACAUGCAAGUCGAACGAAUACGGCCUAGCUUGCUAGGUGUCGGUUAGUGGCAAACGGGUGAGUAACGCGUGGGAACCUACCUAAUAAUACGGAAUAACAGUUAGAAAUGACUGCUAAUACCGUAUAUUCCCUCAGGGGGAAAGAUUCAUCGCUAUUAGAUGGGCCCGCGUUAGAUCAGCUUGUUGGUGGGGUAAUGGCCUACCAAGGCAACGAUCUAUAGCUGGUUUGAGAGGAUGAUCAGCCACACUGGGACUGAGACACGGCCCAG
rnacentral:rRNA from 1 species